AUGCUUUAUUACCGGGUUGGGAGUGAUCGCACCCGCAGGGGUGCGACAAGCCACAAUUUCUAUCUGGUCUAUGUUAGGCCUGUCCAGACGACUUCAACUUCUGUACGCUACAUUUUCUUUUGGAUGUGUCAUGUCGUCAUUUCUAUUGGUCUACGUUAUGCCUAAGACCAACCAAGGAUUUAUCAGUUUGGUUGUUAUAAAUUGUCUGUAAGCUACUACAUGUUGUCGUGUCUUUUAUGCCUAAGAUAUUUAGUGCUAAACCUAUCGGCGAAACAUGCUUUCUAUGUUCAUGCAUUGUUUAGAGGCUUCUUAUUGUGUGUAUACAAACAUUUGGACCGGCACCCUCGCGCCAAGGCGUGAUCCCGAUCUAGUUUCAGAAUAUUGUUAGCCCAACAUACAUGAUAUUUGUACAUUAGCAACAUGUAUGUUAGUCCCAAAAUGAAUUUUUGAACUAUGGAUGGUACCACUAAAUUUUUUUGAACCACAUCUAAAUUUCUCAUUUGCUUCUCUGUUUACAUGACCCACAAUGCACUUGAUUUCCAAACUAAUAGAUUUGGAAACAAUAGUAGUUUUGGUUUGUUUUUAUUCAACAACAGUUGCAUAUUCUUGCUAUAAUCUGUGAUAUGGUCUGUGCUGGCUAUCAUGCUUCUUAAUUUCCAAUAUAUUGAUCCAACAGUUACAGCAUGGCCUGAUAGACAUUGAAAUCAAUUUGUUCGGGCUGAGAACCAUUCUAUAUAAUACUCACCAUUGUUUCGUUUCUUUUGGUCUAGGACAAAGGGUAUAGGAAUGUUUGUAUUCAGAUAGAAGGCUGAAUUAGAUGCAUUCUUCGAGAGAAAUUUACAUCUUUUUACUAAUUCCUCUCUUUGUUUUGUUUGUUUGGCUAUUUCAGAAUGACAACGAGAUACACCUCCUUGAUGAAAAUAUAUGGGCAGUCGUGUAGUCAUCACCGAGGAAGAUAUUGUAUGUAGCUUACUAUAUUUUUGGACUGCCAAAACAUGAGAAGGUGGGGUUUCAUUCUGUACCCCUGAUAUUAUGCACAAUCAUAUAUGUACUUCCUCCCGUAGCGACGGCCGGGGGUGAGGAGACGUCGAUUAGGGUUUAGGGUUUGAUGUUAGAUUCUCUUAGCUUUGAUGGUAUGUGGUUCAACAUAGAUAAUGUCCAUAGUGCCCUAUGGUUUUAUGACAUAUUUUUGGAUCCUGAUGCAGUUAUGGUAUCUUCUAUGAGACAAUUUGUUUCACCGUGUUGGUAGACCAUUUUUUAUGUUGUGUGCUCAAGCGGCUCUCUGUUUUCUUUUAGUGCUUCUUGCUUGCUAUUUUGUUGUUGUUAGGAAUGCAGUGUUAAUUUAGUUUCCUACAAUUUUGAUCUUUCAAGUAUAUUAAAAACUUUAUAAGUUCUGAUGUAUCAACAAGAAUCUGCGGAUGCUUCUUUUCUUCUUGGGUUCUUAAAAAAGCACAAAGGUGGUCCAUCUUGAACCGUAAUCUGUUCGACACUGUUUUUCUAAUUCCCUAGGAAAUUAUUAGUCAUUCUGGUGUUUGGAGAUACACUGUCAAGGUGACUAAUAAACUUUCUUACUUUUACAAUGUACAAUGCAUAUAUAAGUUAAUAUUAUGUACUUCUGUGUUAGGAAAGUGCGCCUUUGCUUUGGUCUUGCUGUUGUUAUGAGGUCCAUUUGUAAAGAGCACGGUCCCAUCCUUCCAUUAUCAUGGUCCCAUUAGGUAAAUGAAGUUACUAUAGUUGAGAGCAUGGAUAUGCCCCUUCCAAAGCUCUAUGCUAGCUUCUUUGUUUUAUAGUAUUUAACAAAAUUCUUCAUCAACAGUUUGAAUACUUGUUUGUUUUAUAGUAUUUCGCAGAAUUCUUCAUCAACAGUUAGAAUAACAAUGUCCUAAGCAAUUUGGAUGACUCAUAUUAUUGAAUCGAUCCAUGUUUAAGCUAAAUUGUUAUGGAUUGAACUUUGAGGAGCUCAAUCCAUAUAGCUAAAUUGAUGUUAUUUAGUUACGAAAUUAGAGAAAAGUGGGAUGCUCCUUUUCUGACUAGGUGCAUACUUUCACUUGAUUUCUAUAUUUUAAAUGCUCCCCGCCUGUUGCUAAGAACAUAUAGCCAUGUGAUUUUUCUUGCUAAUUUUCUGUCAUUUAAGAGUUCUAUUUUGCUCUGUUCCUAUAGUAACCAUUUGGGACUUGGAUACAAAGUUUUGUCCUGGGCGGUUGAAUUUAUAAGGACAUGAUAUCUUGCCAUUAUGCAACCUAUACCAUGCUUGUGUCAUGGCAGUAUUAACCCCUCCAUCUACUCUUUGUUGCUGAAGAAACCAGUAGUUGUAUUCAUUGCAUGUCAGCUGGUCUACGACUUCCAUAAGUUUGCAUCAUUUUUUUUGAGUACUUUGCUGUUAGUAACUUCAACAAGACUAUAAAAAAAUGUUGGAUCUACAGGGGGCAACACAUAACCAGCGAUAAUGAGGUGCCGUUGGCCAUGGGUGCAGUUGUCCACAGCUAGGGGUGGGAUUGUUAGUUUGUUACAACAUAUGGAUGAUAUGCACAUGGAAGGUGCUCUAAUAAUCCCCACUAUUAUUUAUUUGUAUCAUCUGCUAAUGGUUUUGUAUUUGAAAAUGAAUAUUAUCCUUGUUUCUUAUAUACGCAGGCUGAUAUAAACAAGCUAUAAUUGUUUGGGCUAUGAUUCGCAACAUAGAUUGGGGAUUUUAAAAUGUCAGACAAGAAAGUUAUCGGCCUAGUAGGUUCAGAUUCAGUUCUAUUUUUUAAAAUUUUCUUUUCUGUUACAAAAUCAUUUUUUGAUACUUUUCUCCCUUUUAUGUCAUAAAUCAGAUAAGUAUCUCAGUGUUUUAUAUGCAAUGUUACACAUUUGUUCAAGACAAAAAAAAAUUCAUAUAUUGAGUUUACUUACAAACCUUUGGUUGAGAUGAAAGUUUACAUCUGAUGUCAUUCCACUAGGACUCUGAAAUAGUCCCAAAAAAUGUUGUAUUACCUCUCUCUUGGUAACUAAUAUUUGUAUGGUGUGAUUUCUGGAAUUCACGAUCUAAGAUCUAAAUAGUCUGAUUCAUGUUGUCAAUAUCUUAUCGAGGUCUUGACUGACUAAUCUUGAGUAUGAUUUUAUUUGGUUUGGUGUUUAUAUUAUGUAAUGCUCAAGUCUUUCACCUGAAAAUAUUAUUAAUUGAUCGAAUUAAUCUAAGUUUAGUUCUUGAUGAUUAUUUUGUGGGACUAGAAAACAAAGUUUUUAUGUUUGUACUUUGUAGGAAUUAUUAUUAAUGAAGUAUUCUUUCUUCUUAUCUCUCAUUGGUUUUGCUUGUUAGAACAACAAUUGUCAUUACAAAGCAUCUCUAUGUCUCUCUCUAACCGUUACUAUUUCCACUGUCUUGGCUUGCAGGUCGUCGCUUGAGUCGGAUGAGGUCAUGGUUACUUUACCUGAUGAGUUACUGCCCAGGAAGAGCACAAUCCACCACCGCUAUAUAGCAGAUGGAGCUACCAAGGACGUCGUCAUAUUGACCACCGAUGACCUACAUCCUUUCGCUUCCCCUCAUGUUUUGCAGAAUAGAAGUGGCCUGAAAGCCACUUGAAUGAAAUCUUGUGUCUUGCGAUGUGUCAAUGCCAUGAAUUAGAUGUUUGUAGUAUAUUUUUUUAAUUGAAAUGUUUACCUGUGAUAUUGAGCACAGUACAUUAGUGCAUGGAUCAGCAUUGCAGUUUCAACUCUUUUGAUGUAUGGUGAUCUAUGUUUUGUGCAGACUAACAAGGCUUUGUAGUGAAUUUUUAUAGGUCACAUGCGACAAGUUGCCCUUCGUAUGUUAAUCUUGAUACUUUGUACUGAAUUUUUAUGCGAACCAUUUAUUUGUCCGGAUUGUCUUAUAUCGUAAAUCUUGAUGUCUUCUGCUAAAUCUUGAUGCUCUCUG
rnacentral:lncRNA from 1 species